UACGAAGGGGGCUAGCGUUGUUCGGAGUUACUGGGCGUAAAGGGUGUGUAGGCGGUUGUUUAAGUUUGGUGUGAAAUCUCCCGGCUCAACUGGGAGGGUGCGCCGAAUACUGAAUGACUUCGAGUGCGGGAGAGGAAAGUGGAAUUCCUGGUGUAGCGGUGAAAUGCGUAGAUAUCAGGAGGAACACCGGUGGUGUAGACGGCUUUCUGGACCGUAACUGACGCUGAGGAGCGAAAGCGUGGGGAGCAAACAGG
rnacentral:rRNA from 1 species